AGUGAACGCUGGCGGUAGGCCUAACACAUGCAAGUCGAACGGCAGCACAGUAAGAGCUUGCUCUUACGGGUGGCGAGUGGCGGACGGGUGAGGAAUACAUCGGAAUCUACUUUUUCGUGGGGGAUAACGUAGGGAAACUUACGCUAAUACCGCAUACGACCUACGGGUGAAAGCAGGGGAUCUUCGGACCUUGCGCGAUUGAAUGAGCCGAUGUCGGAUUAGCUAGUUGGCGGGGUAAAGGCCCACCAAGGCGACGAUCCGUAGCUGGUCUGAGAGGAUGAUCAGCCACACUGGAACUGAGACACGGUCCAGACUCCUACGGGAGGCAGCAGUGGGGAAUAUUGGACAAUGGGCGCAAGCCUGAUCCAGCCACACCGCGUGGGUGAAGAAGGCCUCCGGGUUGUAAAGCCCUUUUGUUGGGAAAGAAAAGCAGCAGGUUAAUACCCCGCUGUUCCGACGGUACCCAAAGAAUAAGCACCGGCUAACUUCGUG
rnacentral:rRNA from 1 species